UACGGAGGGUGCAAGCGUUAUCCGGAUUCACUGGGUUUAAAGGGUGCGUAGGUGGGCAAGUAAGUCAGUGGUGAAAUCUCCGGGCUUAACCCGGAAACUGCCAUUGAUACUAUUUGUCUUGAAUACUGUGGAGGUCAGCGGAAUAUGUCAUGUAGCGGUGAAAUGCUUAGAUAUGACAUAGAACACCUAUUGCGAAGGCAGCUUACUACGCAGAUAUUGACGCUCAUGCACGAAAGCGUGGGGAUCAAACAGG
rnacentral:rRNA from 1 species